AUAUUUACUUGGACAGGGUGGGUGAUCUAAAAGGCUCAUGACCUAGGUUUGCAACCUCCAUUGCACUUAAAAGGGGUGCUUGCCUAAAGUCGAUCCAAGUUGUCAAGCUUACUUCAUAAUUUGUGAUAGAAGGGGAAUGCGUUCGCGUAGUCCCUAC